CAUAGCAUAUUCCUGAAAGUUAGAGUACUGAUCAAGCCAAGUUUUCAUUUCAGCUAAUGGAAGGUGCAGCUGGAGAUUUCCAAUAUGUAGAUGCUCAUGAAACAAUGGAUGUUCAUUAUCAGCAUGGAGCAUUUGGUCUUACGAGUUCUUCUGGAGAUGCUUAUUCCUGUUAUCACAACACUGACACAUUCCAUGAAGCCUGUGGUGAACAGUUGACUAACUUGGAUCCCACUGGAGGACCAGUUCAGUCUCCCAGUAUAUUCUAUCUGGGAUCGUAUCAUGGUUCUGGUUCUCAUAAAGGCAGCAUGAUUCCAACUUCUUGUUCCAUUGGUGCUUCUAGGGAUUUCUGCAACUCAUUACAGAAGACACCCAUCAUGAGUAGAGAUUCCUCAUUUUAUUUCACAGAACAACACAACACUUCCACUCUCCAAGCUCAAGUUCAGGUUUCACCUAACACCAAAUUGCUAUCUAUCUCCCAUCGUCCACAAAAUUCAGGUGCAACAUACUUGAAGACUGGUAAUUGCUCCAACAGUAUUAUUACUUUUCCAAUGAUGGAGCAAGGGCUGUCAUCCGAUGCUCCAUCAUCUAGCAAAUUUGCAUUGCAUGAUUCCAUUAAUAAAGCAGAAUCUUCCGAGGUUGUCAAAGCUUUCAUUUAUGGUGCAGAGAGGUUACAUUUGCCUUUGAGCGAUCUAUCAUGUGGAAAACCUUCUGGCCUAAUGCACUCUUUUGAGUCAGAAUAUCUAAAUGAUUUUGUCACUAAUCAUCCAGACAUGACACCUGAAAGUUCUUCAUUGUUCCAUCCUGAAGAUGUCCCGGUGACUCGCCUAUGUGAUCAACAACCUGAGCAUGUUAUGGAUGAUGCGGCCAUGCAAAUCAAUCAGAGUGUGCUUGAUGUGAUGUCUGUGUCAUCGUGCUUGUCUGAAGGUGAUAAGAGUGGCUGCAACAUGGUUACCGGGAUAAAUGUGAAGCAAGCUGAGAACUCCAUUUUAGCUGCAGUUAAUUCGCUGGUGUUAGAAAGUAAAAGUAAGGAGAAUUCUUCAAUACCACCCACUCAACUACUUUCUGAUAAUGACCAGUUUAAUGGCAUGGAGUUAAAUAUGAGGGCAAACAGCCUUGUGCAAGAAUUGUGGGAUGGUGUAACAAUGCCAGUUGGCCAUAACAGUUGUUCAGAUAUGAGUGCUGGUAUUUCAGAUUGCUACUCAGCAAUGGAGACGGGCUCAAUUCAUGGCACUGAUAAAGGGCUUUUCUCAGAGUCUGGUCUUCAACAAUUAUUGGAUGCUAUAGCUGGUGACCAUUUUAGUAAAACUUCCGCUUAUAGAUCUAGUGCUAAUCCUAUUUCUGGUCUUAAUUUGGAGCAUCAAUUUUCUACUAGUGUGGGUGGUCCUUCGGUGUACAUGAAUCAGGUUCCUUCGGUAUGUGCUCCUUUCAUGAACGGUGCAUCUGAUGUGCUGUUGCCUCAUUGUAACCCUGAGAUUGUUCAUGGAUCUGUGAAACAAGCACCGUCAAAUUCGAACAUACGCUUAUGGAUUGAUGAUAGCUGCAGUAUAAACACAGAGAGUUCUGUGCUGAGUCAGUCCAAGAAGCCUGAAGAAGCUGCAAAGGUUAAGAAAAGGGCAAGACCUGGUGAAAGUACUCGGCCAAGGCCAAAAGAUCGUCAGCAGAUACAAGAUCGCCUGAAUGAGUUAAGAGAGAUUGUGCCUAAUGGUGCAAAGUGUAGCAUUGAUGCUUUGUUGGACAAAACAAUCAAACAUAUGCUAUUUUUGCAAAGUGUCACCAAGUACGCAGACAAGCUCAAACAAGCUGAUGAGCCCAAGAUUAUCAGUGAGCAGAGUGGUGUUGUUUUAAAGGACAAUCCUGGUGGUGCCAGUGGUGGUGGUGCAACGUGGGCAUAUGAAGUUGCAGGGCAAACCAUGGUCUGCCCAAUAAUAGUUGAGGAUCUCACACCCUCUGGCCAAAUGCUAGUUGAGAUGGUGUGUGAAGACCGAGGACUCUUUCUUGAGAUAGCAGAUAUCAUACGUGGAUUCGGCUUGAUAAUAUUAAAGGGUGUAAUGGAAAUUCGUGAAUGUAAAAUAUGGGCGAGGUUCUUGGUUGAGGCAAACCGGGAGGUGACUAGAAUGGAUAUAUUUCUGUCACUCAUUCAACUUCUACAACAAAACAGCUGUUUGCGAUCUGGUGAUCUGGCAACUAAGGUUGUUAACAAAGGAGCUCCGAUGUUCCCAAGUCAUCAUCAAUCUCCUGUCUAUUCCAGUUAGUUUAUCCGACAGAUUGCAGUGAUCCAUUAGUAGUUCUAUAAAUGCUUGAAGCCAGAUGUAUCUCAAGUGCAGCAUUUGAAGUUUUGGAGAUGAGCGUCCUGCCUUCAGGAUGGCGCAUGAUUGGGGACGCAUGACCAUUCAAUGUUGAGGAAGGCAGCCAGACAUGGAUGCCACAGAAGAUAGAUAGGAGGUUUGUGGUGAUACAUGUGCAGCGAUUGAAUGUCUAGGCUUGAAGGUGUGGUUCAUAGAUUUGGCAACGGCAUCAUGUGUGCACAAAAAAUGUCGGUCAGGUGCAACUGUCGUAUUUAUUUGUUCUAACCAUGUAAAGUUGUCAAGUCUCUGUCCUUUAGUUAUUAACAUAACCUGUUGGAACUAUAGAAUUUGGUCUU